AGCAACAAUUUUAUCCUUCAAAAUUGAAACAAAGAACAGCAUUUACGCCUUCCACAUUUGAAAGCGAAAACAGAGAAUUUAUCAAGGAAUAUUUCAGAAAUAAUAGUUUUAUUGCAUCUAUAUAUGGUUACCCUACAAUGUUCCACCUUUAACAUAAAGAGAAAUAAACACAGCGUGGAAGAUGACAAUGCAAGUUUAUUUGGUGCCCUUAUGGUGAAGAAAAGGCUUCUGAACUUGAUACACAGGCUCCUGGCUAGGGUACAUGGUUUUUCAGCUCUUCACAGCCAAUUCUGUGAACCAACAGCCUUUUGGACACAGAUAAGAAGAAAUCCUAAUAAAGCUAAAGCUGGGCCCUUUAUGUUCUAAAUUCCUGAGUUCGUCAUCAAGCAGCAACUUGAAAAUCGCAAAUUAUGUCAGGAAAGGCCAUACAUCAGUAGUAUUGUUAGCAAGACAGGCUGGGCCACACUUUGGCUAAAAACUUAUUGUGCUCAUACACAUUAGCUGGUCCAAGUCUAGUGCAGUAAGAGUUGAUGGACUUCUAAGCCAAGGUCAAUGGAAACUUCGUACAGUUUUGAGAGACCUGCCUGAAGACCUUUAGGGAUAUGUUGGUUAGGAGGUUGGCAUAUAUGGAAAUUAGGUUCCAGCCAAUCCAUAAUGUAGGCUUUUGUAAGAAGCUGAAAGGACUUUUUCUUUUAAGGCAUAUAUCCUUCAUGUUUAACAAGAUCUAAAUGAACAGUAAAACAAAAUCAUAAACAAGCCUAAUAACAAAU
rnacentral:misc_RNA from 1 species